rnacentral:rRNA from 1 species
UGGGGAAUAUUGGACAAUGGGCGCAAGCCUGAUGCAGCCAUGCCGCGUGUAUGAAGAAGGCCUUCGGGUUGUAAAGUACUUUCAGCGAGGAGGAAGGCGGUAAGGUUAAUAACCUUAUCGAUUGACGUUACUCGCAGAAGAAGCACCGGCUAACUCCGUGCCAGCAGCCGCGGUAAUACGGAGGGUGCAAGCGUUAAUCGGAAUUACUGGGCGUAAAGCGCACGCAGGCGGUCUGUCAAGUCGGAUGUGAAAUCCCCGGGCUCAACCUGGGAACUACAUUCGAAACUGCCAGGCUAGAGUCUUGUAGAGGCGGGUAGAAUUCCAGGUGUAGCGGUGAAAUGCGUAGAGAUCUGGAGGAAUACCGGUGGCGAAGGCGGCCCCCUGGACAAAGACUGACGCUCAGGUGCGAAAGCGUGGGGAGCAAACA